AUGAAGCAUGGUUGUGUCUUCAGUGUGCACCGCCGGAUGAACAACAUGCUGGGACACGCUAUCCCUGAUUUAUGCCGCUUCAGCUUGGAUGAGUCUCCAUUGUGUGGAACUGUACUAGAAAGUUGUGACAAUGAUUCCCGUUGCCCACCGCUAUGGAUCGUGCCUUCCAUGAAGAACUCCUGGGACUGGAACCUGGAGGAGGACAUUGCACUUUCUUCCCCGUCUUCCACUCUUCUUGCUCCUCUCUUCUUCUUCCUCCUCUCCUCCCCAUCGUCGACCGCACACCAUUUCCCCCCGCUCACUGCUCACCCGCCCGCGAUAUCUUCCUUGGUAGCUCGCGCGUACCAUAUCCCCCCGCUCACUGCUCGGCUAGAUGAGGAGAAAAGGAUUGGCCGGUUCUACCGGCUCGCGUCAAGUUUCGAUCCCACGGACCAAGAGCUGAUCGAGCACCUUGAGGCCAAAGUGAGUGCUGACAGUGCGAGAUCUCACCCUCUCCUUGAUUUGUUCAUAGAAACCAUCGACAGCGAGCAUGGCAUAUGCUACACCCAUCCUGAGAAACUUCCAGGUAUCACACUGAGUGGCCUAAGCAAGCAUUUCUUACAGCGCAAUGCUAGGGCGUUCAAAAGGGGCACGUGGACGCGUCGCAAGAUACAGUCAGAGUGCGGCAUGCACGCGAUGUGGCACAACACCGGCAAUGCCUUGCCGAUGAUGAGGACCAACUGGGUGAUGCACCAGUACCACCUCAUGGAACUGGAGCAAGAGAAGGAGUGGGAGCUGGUCCUCUGCAAGAUUUUCUACCAGACGAACACUAGGGCCAGGAGUAAAAAGAUUAUAAGUUAG
rnacentral:rRNA from 1 species